GAAAGAGGCUGCAGGAGACUCUAAAUUCCUAGGCCUGGCUGUGAGGCCUGAAUCCAGAGAGCAGAGAGCCAGAAAAUAACUAAACCCAGCACGGAAUAAACUCCAAUGCUGAUCGGUUUUCAAGAAGCUAACCUAAGACAAAAUACUGCUAGAGGGUUGCAGCAAUUUGGAAUCAUUAAAGGGAACCCAUGUAAAUAAUAAAAACAAAACUAAAAUGCAGAAUUAAAUUAAGGAAUAGGAAAUUAAAUUUGUGAAUCUAAU